UUUGCUAGUGGCGACCCAAUAAAUACCGGAUCUCCAAAAGCGCUGACAAUUUGCAGACCGGGCCUGGGAGUUAUAGAAAUCACUUCCGAAAUUGGUGGGAGGAAAAAGCGAGGUAUGGAGACACGGGGGCGUAUCCCUCUUCCAGAAUUCACGUUCCUUCCUUUGAGCUCUAAAGGUAGGCAUUUCAAGAAGCUGAUGCAUCAAGAAGACACAUGACCAGAGAUCCCAGCUCCCAGAUUCACAGGAUGCAGCAAGAAGGCAGCCAUCUGCAAGCCAUGAAGGGGGCCCUCAUCAGAACCUGAUCCUGCUGGCACUCUGAUCUCUGACUUCCCAUCCCCCAAAACUGUGAGAA